CAAGUACUCCCUCUGCCCGGAAUUACUUGUCAUCAAAAUGGAUGUGUCUAGAACUAAAAUACAUCUAGAUACAUCCAUUUCAAUGACAAGUAUUUUCGGACGGAGGGAGUACAAG
rfam:Triticum aestivum genome assembly, contig: Triticum_aestivum_CS42_TGACv1_scaffold_072882_1DL